rnacentral:rRNA from 1 species
GACGGAGGGUGCUAGCGUUGUUCGGAAUAACUGGGCGUAAAGGGCGCGUAGGCGGUCUUAUAAGUCAGGCGUGAAAGCCCCGGGCUCAACCCGGGAAUUGCGUUUGAUACUGUAAAACUAGAGUGCGAGAGAGGAAAGUGGAAUUCCUAGUGUAGAAGUGAAAUUCGUAGAUAUUAGGAGGAACACCAGAGGCGAAGGCGGCUUUCUGGCUCGCAACUGACGCUGAGGCGCGAAAGCGUGGGGAGCAAACAGG